GGGUGAUUAGCUCAGCUGGGAGAGCACCUCCCUUACAAGGAGGGGGUCGGCGGUUCGAWCCCGUCAUCACCCACCA
rnacentral:tRNA from 1 species